rnacentral:rRNA from 1 species
UUCCGGUUGAUCCCGCCGGACCCGACUGCUAUCAGAGUGGGACUAAGCCAUGCGAGUUAACGUAGCAAUACGUGGCAUACGGCUCAGUAACACGUAGUCAACAUGCCCAGGGGACGUGGAUAACCUCGGGAAACUGAGGAUAAACCGCGAUAGGUCAUGAUUUCUGGAAUGAUUCAUGGCCCAAAUCUAUAUGGCCCCUGGAUUGGACUGCGGCCGAUCAGGCUGUUGGUGAGGUAAUGGCCCACCAAACCUGUUACCGGUACGGGCUCUGAGAGGAGGAGCCCGGAGAUGGGCACUGAGACAAGGGCCCAGGCCCUAUGGGGCGCAGCAGGCGCGAAACCUCUGCAAUAGGCGAAAGCCUGACAGGGUUACUCUGAGUGGUUUCCGCUAAGGGAACCUUUUGGCACCUCUACAAAUGGUGCAGAAUAAGGGGUGGGCAAGUCUGGUGUCAGCCGCCGCGGUAAUACCAGCACCCCGAGUGGUCGGGACGAUUAUUGGGCCUAAAGCAUCCGUAGCCGGUCCUGCAAGUCUUCCGUUAAAUCCAGCUGCUCAACAGAUGGGCUGCGGGGGAUACUACAUGGCUAGGAGGCGGGAGAGGCAAGCGGUACUUUAUGGGUAGGGGUAAAAUCCGUUGAUCCAUAGAAGACCACCAGUGGCGAAGGCGGCUUGCCAGAACGCGCUCGACGGUGAGGGAUGAAAGCUGGGGGAGCAAACCGGAUUAGAUACCCGGGUAGUCCCAGCUGUAAACGAUGCAGACUCGGUGAUGGGCUGGCUUCGUGCCAACCCAGUGCCGCAGGGAAGCCGUUAAGUCUGCCGCCUGGGGAGUACGGUCGCAAGACUGAAACUUAAAGGAAUUGGCGGGGGAGCACCACAAGGGGUGAAGCCUGCGGUUCAAUUGGA